GAAAAAUAAGGCUUACCAAACAUUGUAGCGUCUGAAGGCUAGCUUUAGGCCUUGUAAAGUGAAGUGGUUUGUUUUGUGUGUGUGUGUACACAAUGCCUUCAGAACUGGUCUUUCUGCUCUGCCUUAGGCUUCUGAACCCGUUGUGAUUUUUCAUAGCAAUCAUACAAUAGUUGGGGUACAGACUUUAAUACACACAAAAAAACCUUAUUUGCCUUUUGAAAACAAGGUCCCAUACAAUUUAUAAAACCGGUUUUGAGCAGCAGAAAACAGUUAUAUUUUAAGCCACUGGGUGCCAAAUGUUGGCGUAAGUGCGGUGAGAGAAACAUAAAUUGGAAUGGAGUUACAGAACAGAGAACAGCUCUGCCCUGGGUCAAGAUAGCACGUCACGAGGUGAUUCUAUCUGCAUCAAAAAGAUUUAUUUGUGUAUGGUGGGGAGCGUGCCUUUGGUGACAUAGAGGGCUUCAAGACGCCUCCAUCUGAAGGAACAGGCUGUGCAAUGCUUCACAUGGAUUCUGGAAGAACAUCAAGCACUCUUAACCACUGAGCCAUCUCUCCGACCCCUG
rnacentral:lncRNA from 1 species